UGAGGAAUAUUGGACAAUGGGCGCAAGCCUGAUCCAGCCAUGCCGCGUGCAGGAAGACGGUCCUAUGGAUUGUAAACUGCUUUUGUACGGGAAGAAACACUCCUACGUGUAGGAGCUUGACGGUACCGUAAGAAUAAGGAUCGGCUAACUCCGUGCCAGCAGCCGCGGUAAUACGGAGGAUCCAAGCGUUAUCCGGAAUCAUUGGGUUUAAAGGGUCCGUAGGCGGUCAGAUAAGUCAGUGGUGAAAGCCCAUCGCUCAACGAUGGAACGGCCAUUGAUACUGUCUGACUUGAAUUAUUAGGAAGUAACUAGAAUAUGUAGUGUAGCGGUGAAAUGCUUAGAUAUUACAUGGAAUACCAAUUGCGAAGGCAGGUUACUACUAAUGGAUUGACGCUGAUGGACGAAAGCGUGGGGAGCGAACA
rnacentral:rRNA from 1 species